rnacentral:tRNA from 2 species
CCCUUUGUAGUUCAACGGAUAGAACAACCCCGUCCUAAGGGGUAAAUGUAGGUUCGAUUCCUGCCAAAGGGA